UACGUAGGGUGCAAGCGUUGUCCGGAAUUAUUGGGCGUAAAGAGCUCGUAGGCGGUCUGUCGCGUCGAAUGUGAAACCCGGGCUCAACCCGGCCUGCAUUCGAUACGGGCAGACUAGAGUUCGGUAGGGAGUCGUGGAAUUCCUGGUGUAGCGGUGAAAUGCGCAGAUAUCAGGAGGAACACCGGUGGCGAAGGCGGACUCUGGCCGAUACUGACGCUGGAGGAGCGAAGCGUGGGAGCGAACAGG
rnacentral:rRNA from 1 species